rnacentral:rRNA from 1 species
AACAAGUACUGUGAGGGAAAGUUGCAAAGAACUUUGAAGAGAGAGUUCAAAAGGACGUGAAACCGUUUGUAGGUAAACAGGUGGAACCACGAAGUAAUGCAGUUGGGAAAAAGAUUCAACUGUUUCAGUGGUAAUGACUGCCGGUGCUGGUAUUUGACUCUCAAAUCAAACGAGAGUAGGCAUCGGCAGUUUAAACCAAUAUUACUAUCUGGACGGUGCAUUUAUUUGUUCCCAUGCAAAAGCCAUGACGAGUUGGGUGGCUGGAGCGACCGUUAAGCGAGAUUUCGCCAAAGGUAACCGAUUAAGUCGGUCAUCCUUCACGGGAUGCCAUUUGUCGGUGUUAUAUUGGCUGGUUUCGGCGUCUGCUUCGAGCGUGCCAACUCGGUAAUAAGAAUCUCUGCUUAUGCAGGGUGACGAUAAGACGGCCAUUCGGUUAGUGGGUUUAAGCGAGUGCUUUGAUUGUGAUAGUAUUGUUUUUUGAUCUUAUCGGUCAAAAAGCUAUCCAUCCGAAGUCCGCUUAUCAAUCCAUUUAUUUCCGUAAUGGUCGUAGACUGUUAACGAUCGAUGGCUAGUAGGUCGGUAUCCACCUGACCCGUCUUGAAACACGGACCAAGGAG